UACGUAGGGACCAAGCGUUGUUCGGAUUUACUGGGCGUAAAGAGCGCGUAGGCGGCUUAACAAGUCACUUGUGAAAUCUCCGGGCUUAACUCGGAACGGCCAAGUGAAACUGUCAAGCUAGAGUGCAGAAGGGGCAAUCGGAAUUCUUGGUGUAGCGGUGAAAUGCGUAGAUAUCAAGAGGAACACCGGAGGUGAAGACGGGUUGCUGGGCUGACACUGACGCUGAGGCGCGAAAGCCAGGGGAGCAAACGGG
rnacentral:rRNA from 1 species